UACGAAGGGUGCAAGCGUUAAUCGGAAUUACUGGGCGUAAAGCGUGCGUAGGUGGUCUUUUAAGUCCGUUGUGAAAGCCCUGGGCUCAACCUGGGAAUGGCAGUGGAUACUGGAAGGCUGGAGUACGGUAGAGGAGGGUGGAAUUCCCGGUGUAGAGGUGAAAUUCGUAGAUAUUCGCAAGAACACCAGUGGCGAAGGCGGCUCACUGGCCCGGUACUGACGCUGAGGUGCGAAAGCGUGGGGAGCAAACAGG
rnacentral:rRNA from 1 species